rnacentral:rRNA from 1 species
UACGGAGGGUGCAAGCGUUAUCCGGAUUCACUGGGUUUAAAGGGUGCGUAGGUGGGCUCGUAAGUCAGUGGUGAAAUCUCCGAGCUUAACUCGGAAACUGCCAUUGAUACUAUAGGUCUUGAAUUAUCUGGAGGUUAGCGGAAUAUGUCAUGUAGCGGUGAAAUGCUUAGAUAUGACAUAGAACACCGAUUGCGAAGGCAGCUGGCUACAGGUAUAUUGACACUGAGGCACGAAAGCGUGGGGAUCAAACAGG